UACGAAGGGGGGCUAGCGUUGCUCGGAAUCACUGGGCGUAAAGCGCACGUAGGCGGCUUACUAAGUCAGGGGGUGAAAUCCUGGAGCUCAACUCCAGAACUGCCUUUGAUACUGGUGAGCUUGAGUCCGGAAGAGGUGAGUGGGAAACUGCGAGUGUAGAGGUGAAAAUUCGUAGAUAUUGCAAGAACACCAAGUGGCGAAGGCGGCUCACUGGUCCGGUACUGGACGCUGAGGUGCGAAAAGCGUGGGGGAGCAACAGGGAUUAAAGAAAAC
rnacentral:rRNA from 1 species